AGCUGAGUCAGUGAAGCACUUAAAGGGGCCGAGGCCAGGAGGAGCCGCCGUUACUUCCCUUCUCGCCGCUCUCCCGACUUUUCACCGAGGCACGACUCUUCCCCCUUACCCACUCACCCCCACUUCUCCAUCCAGCAAAGCCCCGACCAGAAUUGGGUCUCUUGGCGCCAGACGUUCGCAGCUGCAGCACCAAGCAAAGUUAUCAUUUUAGAAUUCAGGGGAGAGGAAUUCGUCAUUCCACACAAACUCGCUGACCGACCUGGGCGUUUAGCCCACAGAAACACAGAAAACGGAAACCGAGCCCUCUAAUCUUAGUUACCUUUAAGAGAGGCCUUAAUUUCUUUUAACCAGGUUUCCAGUGGGAAGAAUAAGCAGCAUCUCCUUUUAAAAUCUCAGCUCUCAAACAGAUUUUUGUUACUAUUUUGUACUGGCAAGGCCUAAGACCCAACCAAAUCCCGUUUUCUCUUUAACUGCGGCUCGUAACCUCCGCCAGAGUGGGUUCUGUAGUCGAGGUGAGACAGGGUUCGGGCUCAAAGAAAUCCUCUCCGGGGACAGCAGCAGCCAGUCCACCGACCUGGAAACCUAAAUCCCUCCGAAACGGGCAUGCAGACUCAGACUUUUUGCCUCCCUCCCCGGGCUGCUUGUUUUCCAUUUAAGUAUUGAAUGCAAGAUGGUGUAUUUGCGAAUUAGAUCCCGUGCAGCUGGGAACGACGAGAAGCGGCUCUGCUUGCCAAACGAUAGGGCACUAACUGCAAUUGCUGAGAUUCUUAACAGGGUGUUCCAGGAAACAAAUAAACAAACAAUCCUCUCCCCUCUCCGCCCCCUUACCCCCUCCUGUGAAGGCCGUGGGGCGGCUCUAUCUUCUCUCCGGGGAUGCUGGGGGCCUGUGACGGAGCUCUGUUCUCGUCCUGCUGGAGUGCCCUGCCAUUCACGCCGCGUGCCAGCGGUGGGGAGGAAAGAUGCUAAGUGACAGGAGAGAGCCCCUAGCAAUGGGGGUCCCACGGUGGCCAACUCUGGGGCAGUUCCUGCCCCUGCCACCCCCACACUUAAGUCAAAGGUUCUUUCCUAUCUCCACUUGUGUCUCUUAAACAGAGCGGACACUUGGUCUGUCGUUUAUAGCCCUUGAAAUGUUGGCGUGCCCCUAAGCAACCUGCAGCACCCGUGUUGAGUCCUGGGCUCAGCACUGACCAGGCACGCUGGAGCUGUUGACUUUGGAAGACUGAAAUGGGCAUGAGUUGAUGGAUGGAAAGUACUCUGAACAUGUAACAAGCAGUUCCUUGAGAUCUAGUUUCCUGGUAGAACAUUUUGCUUCCGACUCCAGUUUUCCCUUAGUGCCCUUUUUCUUUCUCCAGGUGGUACCGUUUCUGUUUGGUGGCUGGAGAUCUUACACUAGUACAGUUGUGCUCUGAGCUUAUUGCUGACAUUCCUGAGAGCUCUAUCUCCCUAGCUAGAUGAAGGGCCCAGGUAAGCUCCCAGAUCCUCCUCCUCCCCAAUUUUGUCUACCCCCACUCCCGCUCCUCCCCAUCCCAUCCCAUGACAUCCUGCUCUCUAAACUCAUUUUUCCAAAGGAGCUUUCUUACUCCUCUUCCCUUAAGUCUCUCAGGCCCCAGCCCUCCGGAAGGCUUACAGCCCACAGAGCCACAUAUCCUCACCAUCUAAACCGUAACACAUCAAUCACACUUUAUAACUUUGGCUACAGGAAAACAGUGCCGCACGCUUCACAGCAACUUCCUCACAGGGUUGGACCUGAUGCCUGGAGUUUGGCUCUUGUGACCUUUGCCUCAAGCCAAGUCUCUCCAUUCCAC
rnacentral:lncRNA from 1 species